CCUAAGGUAGCGAAAUUCCUUGUCGGGUAAGUUCCGACCUGCACGAAUGGUGUAACGAUCUGGGCACUGUCUCAGCCAUGAGCUCGGUGAAAUUGUAGAAGCGGUGAAGAUGCCGCUUACCCGCAAUGGGACGAAAAGACCCCGUGAACCUUCACUACAGCUUAGCAUUGACGUUGGGCAGACGAUGUGUAGGAUAGGUGGGAGACUGGGAAGUGUACACGCCAGUGUAUAUGGAGUCGACGUUGAAAUACCACCCUUUGUGUGUCUGGCGUCUAAUCCCCGGGUAAGGGGAGACAAUGCUUGGUGGGUAGUUUGACUGGGGUGGUCGCCUCCAAAAGAGUAACGGAGGCUUCCAAAGGUACCCUCAGUACGGUUGGCAACCGUGCGAAGAGUGCAAUGGCACAAGGGUGCUUGACUGUGAGACAGACGAGUCGAGCAGGUACGAAAGUAGGGCAUAGUGAUCCGGUGGUUCCGAAUGGAAGGGCCAUCGCUCAAAGGAUAAAAGGUACUCCGGGGAUAACAGGCUGAUCACUCCCAAGAGCUCAUAUCGACGGAGUGGUUUGGCACCUCGAUGUCGGCCCGUCACAUCCUGGGGCUGGAGAAGGUCCCAAGGGUUCGGCUGUUCGCCGAUUAAAGUGGCACGCGAGCUGGGUUCAGAACGUCGCGAGACAGUUCGGUCUCUAUCUAUUGUGGGCGCAGGAAGCUUGAGAGGAGCUGUUCUUAGUACGAGAGGACCGGGACGGACGAGCCUACUGUGAGCCGGUUGUGGCGCCAGCCGCACUGCCGGGUAGCAGCGCUCGGAGGGGAUAAGUGCUGAAAGCAUCUAAGCACGAAGCCUACCUCAAGAUGAGGCUUUCUUGAAGGGUCGUGGGAGACUACCACGUUGAUAGGCUGCAGGUGUAAGUACAGUGAUGUAUUGAGCCGAGCAGUACUAAUAGCCCGAAAGGCUUUAUUGA
rnacentral:rRNA from 1 species